UUUUCGCUCAUACAUGUGCACUACAAACAGGUCUAGCUUUGGAAUUCGUAUAUGUGCAUGUUCAAAAUCUAUGCAUACAAGUGAAUAUUAAUUCUGAAAUAUAUACAAUAUGGAUUCCAAAAAUUGAAAUGCAUGGGUGCAUGUAUUUCACAUUUUUUAUAUAUAAACAAGUUUGAUCACAACGUGGCACGGAGAAAGUUUUAUCGCAACAUGUAAAUGUGAUUGAGUUCAAUAUUCAAAUUGCAGCCAUAUUGAAUAUAUCCUCUCC
rnacentral:lncRNA from 1 species